UACAGAGGGUGCAAGCGUUAAUCGGAAUUACUGGGCGUAAAGGGUGCGUAGGUGGUUACGUAAGUUAGGUGUGAAAGUCCUGGGCUUAACCUGGGGACUGCGCCUAAUACUGUGUGACUAGAGUACUGUAGAGGAAGGUGGAAUUUCCAGUGUAGCGGUGAAAUGCGUAGAUAUUGGAAGGAACAUCUGUGGCGAAGGCGACCUUCUGGACAGAUACUGACACUGAGGCACGAAAGCGUGGGGAGCAAACAGG
rnacentral:rRNA from 1 species